rnacentral:lncRNA from 1 species
AUAAAUACAUAACUCCUUAGAGGCUGGCUAAAGAGAGUUUUGAAUUGCUAGUGACUUUUGAAGGUACAAAGACAAGGAGUGUCUGUGGUUCUGCCCUUCCUCUGCCACUGGAUCCUGAAGCCGGUCAAGUGCCACUGGACUUCAUUUACUGUCUUCUCUGCCUUCUGCUGGCCUUAGGGGAAAAAAAAAGUGAGGUCAUAUUUGAUGUCCUUUUCUUUGGCUGGAAACCUGAACUGGUCUUUGGAAAUACAAGGUCUUAACAAGGAUGGUGUAUGCUUUGGACUUUGGCAUUUCCAUGAUGAGUUUAGGACUUUGGCUCCUUCCCAGACUGUACAUGCUGAGACCUUGGGGAACACGGCUUCCAGUCAAUGUGCCUGGAUCUCCUCUCUUCUCUUCUGCCUGUCCCUGCCAGCCCUCCUUCACUCCAGACUCCCUGUCAGCCCUCCCUCACCUCCAGACUCCCUGUCAGCCCUCCCUCACUUCCAGACCCAAAAGAAGGUCAGCUGCAAUAAGGACUGACUGACUUGGGAUGGGAAGGGCAAAACUGAAUUGAAGCAAGAGUUCUACUUCAGCAUCUGGUGCACAGAUUUAGUAACUUUAGUGAAAUUAAAAACCAAGACAAAACAAAUGCAGAGCCUAUAUUACAAGAUUUGUUAUAGGAUCCUUAAUUUAUCUGCUUGGCUUUUGAUGAAAUUGUUUUUUGUUUUUUUUUUUUCUUGCACUGAAAUGUAUAAUGUCCUCUACUAGUUAAGCUCUGGAAUCUUUUCCAGUCAACUUCCUCCCUCUGGGAUGUAAUAAAGAGACAACUUAUGACCCA